UGGGGUGUGGCUCAGUGGUAGAGCACAUGCCUAGCUAGCAUGUGUGAGGCACUGGGUUCAAUCCCCAGCACCAUAU
rfam:Ictidomys tridecemlineatus contig114933, whole genome shotgun sequence.